rnacentral:lncRNA from 1 species
UUUCAUCCUCACUUUACCUCUGUGUGCAGUAAUAUUGCCCUGUCAUUCAUAAAACUUUAUGUCCAGAGGCUUUCCUCUCACCGAUGGAGCUGCAGAAACCUGUGGAGCUUAGGAGGAGCUUAUUGCAGGCACAGCCCUCACUUCCCAGAAACUCCUCCUCAGGUACAGAGCUUCAUUCUCCUCUCUGCAGCCCGUCGACAUCAGAAACUCCAUAGGAGCAUGACGAAUUUCUGUGCUUUCAUGAGACUUCUCACUCACAGAAC